AUUUUGAAAUACUAGAAAACAAGGUCUAGAUCUUUGAUGAAAUGUGCAAAUUUUUAUAGUAGUAGGUAAUUCAUGUGUAAGAAUUUUCAUUAUAAUAUAGAAAAUGCCAUGUUUGAUCAAUUUUAUGAUUGUAUUUUACAAAAAUAAGAAUUCUUUUGUUUGAUUCAUUUUUUUCCAACUUUGUCAAAUAAGGGGAGGCAACUCAAAUGCAAGGGCAGAUAAUCCAGAUUGUGUUACUUUUACAAUAGAAUGUGUUAGGAAUUUACCCAUUUUUACAUGUAGCAAGAAAACGAGUCCGGUGACCCUUUUUUCUUUUCUAUCUGAAAGCAUAAUAUUGAAGCUAUCUUCUCAUAUUUUAUCUCAAAAUUCUAUGGUGUGGUUUGCGUUUUAUGGCGGAAAAAUGAGUUUUCC
rnacentral:lncRNA from 1 species